GAAAAUUAGCAAUAUUGACCUCUUAGCUGAUCUUUUAAAUCAUUGCAAUAAGAAACCUUGGAGGUAUUAUUUUUUAGGCAAAUUUGUCAUCAAAUACAUCUUAAAGAACUCCUAAGCACCUUUUGUGUACGGGUUUACUUUUCGGACUGACGUUCCUCCCUGAAUUGGAGGGAAUGCGUCCUAAUGGUAUAACUUGUAAAUAAUGCUAUUUUGAGUUGGAGCAUAAGGCGCCAAAGGGAAGCCAAGCUUCAAGAAGAAGAAGAAGAAGAAGAAGAAUAUUUUCACACUGGUAGGCCUUGAGUUUAAGUUGGCCUUGGUCUAACAAGUUUCAACAUUAUUAUGCAUUUUCCAUAUAGCAAAUGACAUUUUGAUGUUUGUUUUACUUAGAUACUAAUGUAAGUCGCGCAAAAGUGCUUAUUCAUCUACUAAUUCCAGCAAAAGACCUCAGAGCACAGCGCCAACUAGAGGUCAAAACUUCUAGCUGUUGAUGACUGAAGAACCACCAGCCAUCUACGAUGUGCAAAACUAUUUUGUGGAGUGACAUGUGUAAAAAAUUCGUUGAUACAUUUGCGUGAAGAACCUGCCGCUUAAAAUGCGCGUGAGGCCAAAAACUGAUUCUAAAUAUCUUUGCCAAGAAAGAAGUAGUAGAUUUUUCUACAACACAGAAAAUAUUGUAACGGCACCAACCUUAGGCCGUGAAUAUUUCCUGGCAUAUUGUUGUCAUUUUAAAAUGAUUUCAUCUUUUUAAAAUGUAAUGUGGAGCAAUGAGUGAACAAACUAAGCUUUAUGAUGAGUACUAAGAAUAAGUCGUUUGCUGAAAACUCUACUUUUGAAGUCCAUGUGCUUAUUCACACAAAAGAGAAACAUCGUCUAUGCAGUGUGUAACAGUUCAUUUAUACUAAAGUUAUUUAAACAAUCAUAUAUGUAUUGGCACAGGAAGGAAACCUCAUGUAUGAGAUAUAUAGCAAGUUAUUUAGACAGUAUGGUUCUUUAGACAAGCAUCUGCAGACACAUAAAGGAGGAAAAAUGUGUGUUUAAAAUAUGUAAGCAUUCAUUUGGAUGAAAAAGCACCUUAAACAUGAAUAUGGUUAUUCAGGCUGGAAAGACACCUUAUGUGUGUGAGAUAUGUAAUAAGUCAUUUCCCUACAAAUGUAGAUUAAACAACCAUAUACUUAUUCACAGAGGAGAGAAACCUCAUGUUUGUGAGGUAUGUAACAAGUCAUUUACCAAAAAAAAUAAUUUAAACCAGCAUAUACUCCUCCAUACAGGAGAGAGACCUCAUGUGUGUGAGGUAUGUAAUAAGUCAUUUGUUCGAAAAAGUCACUUAAACAUUCAUUCUUUUAUUCACAAAGAAGAGAAAUGUCAUGUGUGUGAGAUAUGUAAUAAGUCAUUUACUCUAAAAAGUAAUUUAAAUAACCAUUUGCUUCUUCACACAGGAGAGAAACCUCAUCUGUGUCAGAUAUGUAAUAAGUCAUUUAGAGGAAAGAGUUCUUUAAAUAAUCAUAUGCUUAUUCACACAGGAGAGAAACCUCAUGUGUGUGAGGUAUGUAACAAGUCAUUUACUCAAAAAUGUCAUUUAAAUAAACAUAUAUAUAUUCACACAGGUAAGAAACCUCAUGUUUGCGAGUUAUGCAAUAAGUCAUUUAUACAAAAAUGUCAAUUAAACGAACAUAUGCUUAAUCACACAGGAGAGAAACCUCAUGUGUGUAAGAUAUGUAAUAAGUCAUUUGCUUACAAAUUUAGUUUAAACAACCAUAUACUUAUUCACACAGGACAGAAACGACAUGUGUGUGAGAUAUGUAAUAAAUCAUUUUCUUACAAAUGUAGUUUAACCAACCAUAUGCUUAUUCACACAGGAAAGAAACAUCAUGUGUGUGAAGUAUGUAACAAGUCAUUUACUCAUAAAGCUCAUUUAAAUGAACAUACAUUUAUUCACACAGGAGAGAAACCUCAUGUGUGUGAGGUAUGUAUGAAGUCAUUUGCUCAAAAAGGGGAUUUAAAAAAGCAUAUACUUGUUCACACUGGAGAGAAGCCUCAUGUGUGUGAGGUAUGUAAGAAGUCGUUUUCUCAGAUAGGUUCUUUAAAGAAACAUCUGUUUAAUCAUACAGGAGAGAAACCUCAUGUUUGUGAGGUAUGCAAUAAGUCAUUUACUCAAAAAUCUAAUUUAAAGAAGCAUAUGCUUAUCCACCCCAGAAAAGAAAUCCAUGAGUUAUAUGGGUAACAAAUCAUUUAAGUGAUAGAAAAAUUGACACUCAUGUCUAUAUAUAAUGAGAAGGAUAUUUUUCUUUGUGGGAAAGUUACAUUAAAAAGAACCUUUGCUUAUGUGUGCAGUAAAGACUUGUACAUGCUAUAAAGAAAUGCCUUUGUAUGGGGUUUGUUCAACUUUUCAUUUCAUCUUGAUUCUUAAUAAAUCAUUUAUCUGUUCCCACAAGAGAAAAACCUGAUGUCUGUGAAAUAAAUCACAAGUCAUUUUCAAGUGCUGAUUUAAAGCAACAUUUUCUUAGUAUUUAAUUAGUAAUGAAAAAUUUAAAAAAGCAUAUUUGAAGAAUGAAAAGUUAGACACUGAUUAUAUUAUUCUCUAGAAGGAAAUUUUAUUGAUGUCAAAAAUUUCUCCCAUUCAGAAUUUUAAUAUGCAGCUCUUACUGACAUGAUGUCUGAAGGUUUUGAAAGAGCCAUUACCUCUGAGGUACCAUUUGUCCAGACUAAUACGGGAAUCUGAUUGCCUCAGCGAAUAUUCUUAAAUCUUUGUGAAACUGGGCCAGUUUUUAUGAACCAGCACGUAUAAAAAAAACCAUUAAACAGUAACAGGUGGUUUCUGGAGAUGGUUGCAUAGCAUGAUUUUUACUAUUUUUCAACUCUUCUAAAUUUUUAGUAUCUACUCAACAUUUUAUGUACUGAGGAUUCUAAGUUUCGUGCAAUAAAACAUUUGUGAAUUUA